CAAAGGUUUGAUAGUAAACAGGACAAUAUGUACUACCUCAUCUACUUCCCAAAACCCACAUAUUAAUCAGAUCCUAAUCAUGCAACUGUUUGAGGAUUGAUCUAAUGCAAGAAAACUGGGUGGUAAAGAGGUAUGAUCAAAGUGUGAACUUGCCUGUACUGUUGAUGAAGAUGAUUCGCACUCAUAACUCCUAAUAGUUCUACUCGUCACACUCCGGUCAAUCUAUCGUAAGCAAGCAAUGGUAACCACACAUAAGCAAUCACUCAAAAGACCAGAUAGAACGAAGAAGACAAUUCGGAAGACAUCAAAACCAACCAAAUAACUCUUGCAACAUAAAACAAUUUCUAACAGUACCAAAAUUAUGUGAACUUGGCCUUAUCAGAAAGUUUAGGUCAAGAGCUUCGAUUUGCAAAAAGAAUCAACUCAAACGGAGUUAUAAAACUCAAGUUACGAUCAAAUGAAGUUCAAAUACAAAUCUGUUUGAAAUUCAAACUUUUAAAUUUUCAAAAACAUGUUUAAGUUGUUUUAUUGGAUAGAGGGGAUCAUAACGAAGAAGAUGGCGCUGGUUUCGUUGGAUUUGGACAAACGAGUAAAAAGAUGUGAACGUUUGAAAACCAGGGGCUAUUAUGUAAGAAAAACAAAUUGCAACUAGGUCCCUGGACAGAAAAUAAAGAAGGAAAAAGAAAAACCUACUGAGCGAACGCUCGCUUUCUAACUCUAACCAGCGAACGUUCUCUAAAUAAAAAAAUGAAAAAAAUAAAGAUCUGGAUCGGACCGGUCGGAGGCGGUUUUUCGUUAAAAACCGGCGGUGGAUCGGGGUUAGGGUUUACCGCGGCGGCGGCGGUUCCGGCGGUUCUCCGGCGACUCGGAUCUGAUCGGGGCGGCAGCUCCGGUGGUCGUCGAGGCCAGCGAAGAGGUCGGGGAGGGGCGGCGCUGGGCGGCGGGUGCAGUGGUGGCAUCGGGGGCGGUCGACGACGUCGCGGGCGGCGACUGCGGCGCUCGACGGCGGAGGCGGCGAUGAAAUGCGCCAGCGGCUGCGAGCGGGAGAGGCGGCGGGGCAGGUGCGGGGAGAGAGAGAGAGAGAGAGAGAGAGAGAGGGGAGUCCGGCUCCUUUUUAAAGGGCCCUCGGGUGCGGUGCCUUGCGCGAGGGGGCAGGGAAAGUCCGGCCUCGGCACGGACGCCGAGGUCGGCGCGGCGGCGCGCCGUGGCGCGGCUGGAAACCAAGCGAAGCUCGGGGACGAGCGGUAUGGGCCGUUGGGCCGGCCCAGUCGGCGACGGGGAAAGAGAGGAGAGAGAGAGCAAUGCUGGGCUUCGGCCUGGCACUGUUCGAAGAGUUUUUAAAAAAAACAUUUUUCCAGACAAAGGAAAAAAAUAAUAAAAACGAAAUAAAAAAAUAAAAAUAUAUUAUAUAGGCAUAUAAUAUAUCUAAAUUUUCAGAAAAAGAUUUUCUACAACGUGAACAUUUUUAUAGAAUCAAAUAAAAUCCACAAUAAUUCAAAUAAAGCAAAGAGUGCUACUGCUCUAAUAAAAUCCAAAAGAAUCAUUUUAAAAUACCAAAAUUAUUUCAAAUUUAUUUCUCUCCAAUUUUCUGAUGUAGGGAAUCAUUUUACCCUAAUUUCCAUAUAUUUUAUUUUUGGAGAAAAAUAAUUUGAAUAAAAAUCAAAUAACUCAAAAUUGAAAAAUAAUUUCAAAAGGAUUUUAAAUUUGAUCCUUUUAAACUUCCAACUCAUAUUUCAUAUGUUUUGAAGAAGUCAUUUUAUCUUCUCUCAUGAAAAUCAUUGAGUUGCUUAAAGUUUCUGAAUUUGAAAUAUUUUCAAAUGAAAUUCAAAUAUUUUCAACAACCCUUUUCAUUUAAAUAAAUGGAAGAAGUCAUGUCAUCUUCUCUCCAGGGUUUUGUGAUGAAAAGAAUUUGAAUUCAUGGAGAUCAUAAAAGCAAAAUGAAAGUUUGGGAAAGUCCUUUUAUUCCCUCUCAUUUAACUUUCAAAAGUUUCAAAUUCACUCACUUUCAGUCAAUCAAUCAAACAAUCAAUCAAAUCUAUCUAUUUAUUAUAACAUUCCAAAAUUUAGAAUUUUGGGAUGUUACAAACCUACCACCCUUAAAAUAAAUCUCGUCCUCGAGAUUCGGAGAGGCUAGAAAGAAACAGGUUAGGUUUGGGGUCUUCUCAAUUUCCAUCGAUCGUCUCCGGGGUUUGGGGUGCUACCACCCUUAAAAACAUGGUUACAGUCCCAUCAAAACUUAUAUACUCCAUCCAUUAUUCUUGACAGUGUCGGUCUUCUCAAAAUUCUCGGGAAAAUUCCUUCCCUGGGCUUUUCCGGUAGUGGCAUAACCUUUAUCGCAAUUCUUUUGUCCUUUCAUCUUGGUAAGGUUAUUCCGAGACUGGGUCUUCAUAGCUGACGGGUCUGGCGCCAAUACUAAACAACUAUCGAUAUCUCAUGGUGGUCAACGAUUUAUGGUUUCUCCUGCGGGAAAUGGGUCUGGUUGAUCCUCACCGUAUAACCUACGGUUGGCAAAAGCUGCCUUGUACAAGGGAAAAAUACUUAUACCAUUCUAAGGUUCAAACAAGGUUUUGAUCGUCGUCUCUCUACUAUAGGCAAGUCACUCAGAUUUACCAUCCCAUAUAGCAAGGCGAAUAAUAAGAGUAAGUCGGUAUGGUGAUCAAUCCAUCCCGCACCCAAAUCAUUACCCUGUAUACGGUUUAGUGAAUCUCGCAUUCUAACACUCGGUCAUCCUCACAAGCAUUGUAGAAUUUUUCUUGUCAACGAACUAGGUUCGGAUAAAUCCAUGGAUUCUGCAUGCCAAACAAACAUCUAUCGUUCCUUCAUAACUCUCAGGUUUUGCGUUACUCCUAUAAAAUCGUCUGCUGAUAAAAUCGUAACUUCUUCCAGGGUUUUUCCUUCAGCAAGAAUGUGAUUGCUUCUUGGCAAGUCCUGGGGCCUGUGGGUUAUGGUCCCACCUCAUCACUUGCAAACCUUGAAUUCAUCAUCAGGGCAACUGAUCCUUAUUCCAACUUCCAACUUCCUAGUAUUCUUAAAUCCAUCCAAUUGUACUGUCUUCCUUCCUUCUAUUGGCACCAAACUAAGACGUGAUUACUCCGACUCAUCAUGGAGUUACAAUCGUUCGAUAGUACCAACAUUAUAUCUCCUUUAUAUCCAAUAGUACUUCAUCCCUUCAUAAACUUGGGAUACCCCACAUACUGAGAUAAAACUUAUACUUAUGAACUCCAUACUCCACUUCGUGGAACAUCCAUAUCCUUUCCAGGGUCAAGCGUCCUUACAGGGGAAUAUUGGCCAUCUCUGCAGGGCACUUCUUCAACUGGGAAACGUGAAACACAUCAUGAACUCCGGACAGUCCUUCAGGGUGACUCCAACUUGUUGGCCACUUCUCCCAUACGCUCCAAAACUCGGUAUGGUCCUACCAAUCUCGGGGCUAACUUUCCCUUAACUCCAAAUUGUUUAACUCCUCGCAGAGGGGACACACGAAGACAUGCUCUGUCUCCAAUUUCAUAGACUACCUCCUUGCGUUUUUGAGUCUACAUAACUCUUCUGCCUGGACUGAGCUACCUUCAGUCUAUCUCGAAUCAACUUAACAUUCUCUUCUAACUCCUUGAUCACAUUUGGUCCAAACAACUGACGGUCUCCAACUUCAUCCCACAUCAACGGUGUCUGGCUCCUUUUCCCAUACAAAGCUUCAAAAGGGGCCAUCUUCAAACUGGCUUGGUAACUGUUGUUGUAUGAGAACUCCGCGUAAGGUAGAUUAUCAUCCCUACUAGAUCCAUAAUCUAGCGCACAGGCUCUCAACAUGUCCUCCAGAAUCUGAUUAACUCUCUCGGUCUAUCCAUCUGUCUGCGGAUGAAAGGCUGUAAUGAACUCUAGCCUAGUACCCAAAGUCUGGUGCAGCUGAUUCCAAAACUUUGAGGUAAACUGUGUUCCUCUAUCUGAUACGAUGGUCCUCGGAACUCCAUGCAGACAUACGAUUCCUCGUCAUAUAUAUCUUGGCCACCUUCGCACUUGUAUAGGUGGUUUUCACUGGGAUAAAGUGAGCCACUUUGGUCAAGCGAAUCAACUACUACCCAGAUAGAAUCAUAUCCCGAUCGGGUUCUGGGAAAUCCGGUAAUGAAAUCCAUGCCAAGCUUAUCCCACUUCCAUUCGGGUGUCGGCAUAGGCUGUAGUAAUCCGGCUGGCUUCUGAUGCUCUGCCUUUACUCUCUGGCAUACAUCACCUACGACUACAUACUCCGCAAUAUCCUUCUUCAUACCAGUCCACCAGAAACGCUCCUUCAAAUCCAAAUACAUCUUGGUGUUUCCAUGGCGAAUCGAGUAUGGUGAGUCAUGAGCCUACUGAAGUAUUAACUUCCUGAUCUUUGCAUUAUUGGGCACAUAUACACGGUCCUUGAACCAUAAGGUGUCGUGCUCAUCCUUACGAAAACCUUUGGCCUUUCCUUUGCUCAUCCUCUCUUUUAACUCGGCAAUCUCUUUGUCAUCCUUCUGAGCUUCACGGAUCUUUCCCAACAAUGUAGACUGAACUUCCAUUGCUGCAACAAAACCUUUGGGAACAAUCUCCAACCGAAGUUCCCUGAGAUCCUCGGCUAACUCCUUUGGUAAUCCUCCGCUUAUGAGGGUAUUCGUCCUUGUUUUCUUUAUGGUUGUGUCCUAUUUCUCCACAAAGCUUGUAUGCACAAGGUUUCUUCAUAUCCUUUCCAUAAGGCCUCAACUUCUGGGACACAAACCGAGACUUUAGCAGAGUCAACUUAAAUUCUUUCCAAGUGGUUACUCCUUGCCAUCCAUUGCUGGUUUGGUACAUCCUCCACCAGGUAGUGGCACCUCUUUCAAAGCACUCAAGAGCAUGCUGGGUCAUAUCCUUUCUGGCUAUAGGGUUAUUCUCCAUGUGAUCCUCCAUGUUCUGAAUCCAUCGGUCCAUCUCCAAUUGACUCGUCGGUCCAGAAAAUACAAGCUCAUCUCCAUUCAUCCUCUAUUGGGUCCAAGGGUUUUGGGGUGAGAUAAGAGAGAUAGAGAGGGAUACACACAAUGCAAACAAUAGUUUUGAGAAGAAAGAUUUUAUUUGUGGCUGUCGGAAAAACAACAAAAAAAUGACAGCUCACAAUCGUCGCAUCUAACGUAGGUAUAUAACAGGGGUUUAGUCUUCUAAAGGUCAAUAAAUCUUCAAAGUCAUCAAACUCUUCAAGUCUUGUUCAUGCCUCCAAUGGCUUCUUCCAAUCAUGCUUGUCUUUCUCCAGUUCUUUUGCCAGAUCAUCUCUAUUGACGUGAAGUCUCUCGUGACAUCCUUUAAUAUUUUUGGAGUUGCGUUCCAAACUUCCGGGUUUCAACAUCCUUGACAUGAACCAUGGCACUACGGUCCUUCCGUUCCUAACGAAUCUCCUGUAUCUCGAGGUUUUGCUCCUCCAGCUUGGCUACUUUCAGCUUCUAGGUCCUGAGUUCUUCACGAAAUGCUUCCUUUCAAAUACGGCUUCUUGUAGCUCCAUCUUAACUUCUUGAUGUAACACUCCAGAUCCUGGUGAUACACCGGCUAAGGUUAAAACUUCACCUUGCUGAUAGGUGCUUCAUCAGCCUUCUACCAUCAAAUCCUUCCAUGCAUAUGCAUGCUUAACUCAGCAUGGUGACAAUACCAUAAGUGGGCGAUAACAUCAUGGAUAGCCCUGUUUCUGCUCUUGUCAUUUCCAUGAGCUAUCUCUCCAUAGUUGAUAUCUCCUACCUUAGGGUUUUCUUACAAAACUUUGGAUUCUUAUGCUCCAUGUUCCGGUCUUUCUCCGAUACACCUUGUUCUCGGGUAUUGACAGCUUCCAUAGUCUGCCAAGUUCCAUAGGGGUAGCCUUCCUAGGUUAUACACAUCUGGCAAUUCUUCAGAGCCUUCAAAUUCUCCUAGUCUUCGGAGUCUUCAACCGUUGUAGUUCCAAUUAUAACAAAUGCUUGGUAAAAAUGCUCUUCAUUCCGAAGUAGUCUUGGUUGUCCGAUAUCUUGUCCUUCUUGGAGUGGUCUCAUCAGUCGAAUCUUUGUGUUCAAAAGGGGAAAGGGGUAUAGUCUCACUAAAAAGGAAUAUUUGAAUAAGCUCAGAAGAGAAGGGAGGUAAAAUAUCAUUUUUGAAAAGAAAGUUGUAGAGAAAAUCUUUUCCUAUGGGCUUGCCAGUGUCUAUGGUCACGUCCAACAGUCAACAUGUGCUCUGAUACCAUCUUGUAGCGACCCGACCUCAGACGGUCAAGUCUCUGUGCUUAAGUGUCAUCCUUGGAUCGGUAUGCUGACACACACAGUACUCGAGGAUUUAUAACAGAGGUAAAUCACAUGUAUAAAAUAACGUAAAUACUAUUACCUCAAUCCAAAUAGCGGAAGUAACAACAAGGUUGUGGAUUCCCAUCAACACCAACGGCAAAGUUGAGUGUAGAAAUCGUAACCCUAACAUAUCACUUACUCGUCGUAAGAUAUCCUGCAACAUGAGACGUUGCAGCCACAAAGGGUCGGUACAUUGAAUGUACUGGCAAAUUCACACCAUAGAGAAAUGAUGAACAAAGGCUAUCACUACAUGCAUAUAUGGCUGGUGGAAAAGCUCUAUGGUUAUAAGGUUUUUGCGAAAAGCCAAUUUUUCCCUACUGCAAAGGAAUAUAUUUUAUUUAACUAUCAUGGUGGUUGUUAAACAUUGAGAAGGUACCUCCAACUCAAUCCCAAUUAAGAACGUGAUUAAACCCAAUCAAAUUUAAAUUAAAGUAACAUGAUGAUGAGAUUCACAUGAUAAUCCAAGAACUAGAUACUCAAGAUGUCCAUAACCGGGGACACGGCUAAUCAUGAUUAGUUUGUACACUCUGCAGAGGUUUGUGCACUUUUCCCCACAAGACUCGAUCGCCUCCGCUUGAUUUCUCACACUACAUGGUGUUUGAGAAACGGAUGACCGAGACACAGUCUUUCAGAAACACUACUCUUUACUCCGGGUGGACAGUUACACCUACUUUCCCCUACAUCUGCUAGCCCACCUCUUCAAGAGGUCAUGUAACCUACUCAACUAUGCUAGAGCCCAUAAUAGCUUGUGGCUGCACACGGAAGUUUCUAGCAUGAAUAAUCUCAUGAUCCCUUUGAGUCUGGGUGGCGGUCCAUAGGAUGAUCACACGGGUACUCCGGGAUAUCCAAAAAUACAGGCAACACUGGUUUCUCCAGGUGCCUCAGUCCACCUAGAUGUAAAUUAAAGUAGCCACCUUAAGUUGAACCAUAAAUUAAUAAUCUCACAUCUGUCAUGAAGAAUUCACUCAAAACCCAAUCCACGUCUACGAGCAUAGCAUAGCAAUAUAAGCAAACGUAGAAGUAACUCCCAAAGGUUUGAUAGUAAACAGGACAAUAGGUACUACCUCAUCUACUUCCCAAAACCCACAUAUUAAUCAGAUCCUAAUCAUGCAACUGUUUGAGGAUUGAUCUAAUGCAAGAAAACUGGGUGGUAAAGAGGUAUGAUCAAAGUGUGAACUUGCCUGUACUGUUGAUGAAGAUGAUUCGCACUCAUAACUCCUGAUAGUUCUACUCGUCACACUCCGGUCAAUCUAUCGUAAGCAAGCAAUGGUAACCACACAUAAGCAAUCACUCAAAAGACCGGAUAGAAUGAAGAAGACAAUUCGAAAGACAUCAAAACCAACCAAAUAACUCUUGCAACAUAAAACAAUUUCUAACAGUGCCAAAAUUAUGUGAAUUUGGCCUUAUCAGAAAGUUUAGGUCAAGAGCUUCGAUUUGCAAAAAGAAUCAACUCAAACGGAGUUAUAAAACUCAAGUUACGAUCAAAUGAAGUUCAAAUACAAAUCUGUUGGAAAUUCAAACUUUAAAUUUUCAAAAACAUGUUUAAGUUGUUUUACUGGAUAGAGGGGAUCAUAACGAAGAAGAUGGCACUGGUUUCGUUGGAUUUGGACAAACGAGUAAAAAGAUGUGAACGUUUGAAAACCAGGGGCUAUUAUGUAAGAAAAACAAAUUGCAACUAGGUCCCUGGACAGAAAAUAAAGAAGAAAAAAGAAAAACCUACUGAGCGAACGCUCGCUUUCUAACUCUAACCAGUGAACAUUCUCUAAAUAAAAACAAAACGAA
rnacentral:lncRNA from 1 species